UUACAAUACGAUAUGAAAACUAAUCGAACUUUAGUUGUUCAAUUUUUUUCUGAAAAGAUUGGUCGAGAUCCUUGAGGUUGGAUAGUUUUGACAUAGGCUCUAGGAUUCGAUCACUGAAAAGGUUAUAUAGUCAAGGAAUGUUCAAGCAGAGAUGAUGAUGAAGAGCAAUUCAUAGUUUCAAGAGAGUAGCUAAGAUGGUUCAAUCUGUUUUCUAAUCGUUAAGUAAAUUUAGCAUUUUAGUUGUUUUAUAUACUAGAUUUACAAUACGAUAUGAAAACUAAUCGAACUUUAGUUGUUCAAUUUUUUUCUGAAAAGAUUGGUCGAGAUCCUUGAGGUUGGAUAGUUUUGACAUAGGCUCUAGGAUUCGAUCACUGAAAAGGUUAUAUAGUCAAGGAAUGUUCAAGCAGAGAUGAUGAUGAAGAGCAAUUCAUAGUUUCAAGAGAGUAGCUAAGAUGGUUUUUGGUCCAAAUGAAUCUCUGACACAAGAGGCAUGGUGAGUAGAGAACAAGGAAGGUUUCCAGAAAAGUGAUUAUUGGUUAGAUUGUAUAAAGGGGGAAAACUACCGGUCAGUUCGUUUUGUGAAAGGCUCAAGGAAGUAAAGACGGCUUAGGCUACUGAUUGAGGAUGGAAUUUCUCCGACUAAGCCCAUACCAGUUAGAUGCAAGACCUCUCAGUUGGUGAGUCUUCCAAGUUGGGCGAAGAAUGAGGACGAGUCAAAGUGGUUGUAAGCGAGAUCGAGAUACCUGAGGUGAUGAAGUCUGAAAAGACUUACUAUUAGCAUUGAGGGAGCCUCUGAGACAUGCACCAUAUAGGUCUAGCUUCGUCACUACACCGGUCUCGUUAUCAAAUUUGUCGUUGCAUUUGAGUAAGUCAAGUUGCAUUUGGGGAAUGGAAAUUCAU
rnacentral:misc_RNA from 1 species